GAAAUGCGAUAACUAGUGCGAAUUGCAGAAUUCCGUGAAUCAUCGAGUCUUUGAACGCACAUUGCGCCCCCUGGUAUUCCGGGGGGCAUGCCUGUCCGAGCGUCAUUGCUGCCCAUCAAGCACGGCUUGUGUGUUGGGUCGUCGUCCCCUCUCCGGGGGGGACGGGCCCCAAAGGCAGCGGCGGCACCGCGUCCGAUCCUCGAGCGUAUGGGGCUUUGUCACCCGCUCUGUAGGCCCGGCCGGCGCUUGCCGAACGCAAAUCAAUCUUUUUCCAGGUUGACCUCGGAUCAGGUAGGGAUACCCGCUGAACUUAAGC
rnacentral:misc_RNA from 1 species